rnacentral:rRNA from 1 species
UUGGGUAUAAAGCGCGUGUAGGCGGCCAGAUAAGUCAGAGGUGAAAAGCCCGGGGGCUCAACCCCCGGAAGUGCCUUUUGAAACUAUUUGGGCUUGAGUGCGGGGAGAGGAAAGCGGAAUUCCCCAGUGUAGAGGUGAAAAUUCGUAGAUAUUGGGGAGGAACACCGGUGGCGAAGGCGGCUUUCUGGACCGACACUGACGCUGAGGCGCGAAAAGCGUGGGGAGCAAACAGGAUUAGAUACCCGCGUA